CGCCUGAGUAGUAUGCUCGCAAGAGUGAAACUUAAAGGAAUUGACGGGGACCCGCACAAGCGGUGGAGCAUGUGGUUUAAUUUGAAGAUACGCGGAGAACCUUACCCACUCUUGACAUCCUUCGCAAUGCUAUAGAGAUAUAGCGGAGGUUAACGGAGUGACAGAUGGUGCAUGGUUGUCGUCAGCUCGUGUCGUGAGAUGUUUGGUCAAGUCCUGCAACGAGCGCAACCCCUAUCUUUAGUUACUAACGAGUCAUGUCGAGGACUCUAGAGAUACUGCCUGGGUAACUGGGAGGAAGGUGGGGAUGACGUCAAAUCAUCAUGCCUCUUACGAGUGGGGCAACACACGUGCUACAAUGGUCGGUACAAAGAGAAGCAAUAUGGCGACAUGGAGCAAAUCUCAAAAAGCCGAUCUCAGUUCGGAUUGGAGUCUGCAAUUCGACUCCAUGAAGUCGGAAUCGCUAGUAAUCGCAGAUCAGCUACGCUGCGGUGAAUACGUUCUCGGGUCUUGUACACACCGC
rnacentral:rRNA from 1 species